rnacentral:rRNA from 1 species
GAGCGGGAAAAGCUCAAAUUUAAAAUCUGGCUGCCUUCGGUGGUCCGAGUUGUAAUCUGGAGAAGCGUUUUCCGCGUCGGACCGUGUACAAGUCUUCUGGAACGGAGCGUCAUAGAGGGUGAGAAUCCCGUCUCUGACACGGACUACCGAUGCUUUUGUGAUGCGCUCUCGAAGAGUCGAGUUGUUUGGGAAUGCAGCUCAAAAUGGGAGGUAAAUUCCUUCUAAAGCUAAAUAUUGGCUAGAGACCGAUAGCGAACAAGUACCGUGAGGGAAAGAUGAAAAGCACUUUGGAAAGAGAGUUAAACAGUACGUGAAAUUGUUGAAAGGGAAACGCUUGAAGUCAGUCGCGUUGAUCGAGACUCAGCCUGGCUUGCCUGGUGUACUUCUCGGUUGACGGGUCAGCAUCAGUUUUGACCGCCGGAUAAAGGUUGGAGGAAUGUGGCAUCUCUCGGGAUGUGUUAUAGCCUCUGAUUCGCAUACGGCGAUUGGGACUGAGGAACUCAGCACGCCUUUAUGGUCGGGGUUCGCCCACGUAACGUGCUUAGGAUGCUGGCAUAAUGGCUUUAAGCGACCCGUCUUGAAACACGGACCAAGGAGUCUAACAUGCCCGCGAGUGUUUGGGUGUCAAACCCGAGCGCGUAAUGAAAGUGAAAGUUGAGAUCCCUGUCGUGGGAGC